rnacentral:tRNA from 1 species
GUGAGCGUAGCUCAGUCGGUAGAGCAUCAGGUUGUGGUUCUGAGGGUCGAGGGUUCGAUCCCCUCCGCUCACCCCA